AUGGAAAGCAUAAAGGACAUAAACUAAUGGCAGUUGUUGUGUAUCCUGCGUGAUAUACUAAAAAUAGCAUAAUAGUCCCACAGUUCUAUAACAUUCUCAAGUUAGGUAUACCAUACACAACCUGGCAAUAUCCCAGCAAAUAAUUUUAUAGUCCUACUGUUUUUUAACACUCCUGUCAACUCGUUGAACCUUGGCUUCUCAAAACAAACAGUCUUACAACUUCCGUAUGAGAAAACAUAAAAAAUUCACAAUUAGCAAAAUUUACAAUUACCAUCCUCUCUCUUCCCGCAAAAAACCUCCUCAGAAAAACAUUAUUAAUUGCUCACAGGUUCUCAACAGAUCUUACAACGAAUUAAUUUGUUGACUGUAGGAAAGUGCACUUGGAUAUCGUACGUGUGUACCCAUCUAUAUGUAGCUAGAUAUAUCUAUAUAUCUUUAUAUCCAUUCGAGUGUGUGCAUAUCUAGCGGUGCAAGCGAUGAAAUGAACAAACAGUUGAAUUGUUAUUCUUGUUUGUUAUCAACGGAACACAGAACGUACGAUUUCUGUAUAGCGACGAUAUAUAAAAUCGUAGUGUGUGCCCUGGUGCGACGCGAAUUUGAGCAUUUGCUGUUGACCAACCGAUGUUCAUCAUAUCUCGAUGGCAAUCGAAAGCUGUUUGAUUUGUCACCUCCCUCUGGACUCCCAGUCAAGGAUCCUCUUGAAUUGUAAAUUUGAACUGUCCUCCCUUGCCAGUUUCCACUGUACGUGUCACAUGCAGCACAUUUAGCUCGUUUACUUGAUAAUGUGGCGC